UGGGGAAUAUUGCACAAUGGGCGAAAGCCUGAUGCAGCAACGCCGCGUGAGUGAUGAAGGCCUUCGGGUUGUAAAGCUCUGUCUUUUGGGACGAUAAUGACGGUACCAAAGGAGGAAGCCACGGCUAACUACGUGCCAGCAGCCGCGGUAAUACGUAGGUGGCAAGCGUUGUCCGGAUUUACUGGGCGUAAAGGAUGCGUAGGCGGAUUUUUAAGUGAGAUGUGAAAACCCUAAGCUUAACUUGGGGACUGCAUUUCAUACUGGAAAUCUAGAGUGCGGGAGAGGAGAAUGGAAUUCCUAGUGUAGCGGUGAAAUGCGUAGAGAUUAGGAAGAACACCAGUGGCGAAGGCGAUUCUCUGGACCGUAACUGACGCUGAGGCAUGAAAGCGUGGGUAGCAAACAGGAUUAGAUACCCUGGUAGUCCACGCCGUAAACGGUGAGUACUAGGUGUAGGAGGUAUCGACCCCUUCUGUGCCGCAGUUAACACAAUAAGUACUCCGCCUGGGAAGUACGAUCGCAAGAUUAAAACUCAAAUGAAUUGACGGGGUCAUAGCUG
rnacentral:rRNA from 1 species